AGCGGCGAACGGGUGAGUAACACGUAGGUGAUCUGCCCAUCAGACGGGGACAACGAUUGGAAACGAUCGCUAAUACCGGAUAGGACGAAGUUAAAGGUGCUUCUGGCACCGCUGAUGGAUGAGCCUGCGGCGCAUUAGCUAGUUGGUAGGGUAAAGGCCUACCAAGGCGACGAUGCGUAGCCGACCUGAGAGGGUGAACGGCCACACUGGGACUGAGACACGGCCCAGACUCCUACGGGAGGCAGCAUG
rnacentral:rRNA from 1 species